UACGUAGGGUGCGAGCGUUGUCCGGAAUUAUUGGGCGUAAAGAGCUCGUAGGCGGUUUGUCGCGUCGUCUGUGAAAACCCGAGGCUUAACCUCGGGCCUGCAGUCGAUACGGGCAGACUAGAGUUCGGUAGGGGAGACUGGAAUUCCUGGUGUAGCGGUGAAAUGCGCAGAUAUCAGGAGGAACACCGGAGGCGAAGGCGACUUCCUGGCCUGUUCUUGACGCUGAGGCGCGAAAGCUAGGGGAGCAAACGGG
rnacentral:rRNA from 1 species